AUUGAACGCUGGCGGCAGGCCUAACACAUGCAAGUCGAGCGGAUGAAGGGAGCUUGCUCUCUGAUUCAGCGGCGGACGGGUGAGUAAUGCCUAGGAAUCUGCCUGGUAGUGGGGGACAACGUUUCGAAAGGAACGCUAAUACCGCAUACGUCCUACGGGAGAAAGUGGGGGAUCUUCGGACCUCACGCUAUCAGAUGAGCCUAGGUACGAUUAGCUAGUUGGUGAGGUAAAGGCUCACCAAGGCGACGAUCGUUAACUGGUCUGAGAGGAUGAUCAGUCACAAUGGAACUGAGACACGGUCCAGACUCCUACGGGAGGCAGCAGUGGGGAAUAUUGGACAAUGGGCGAAAGCCUGAUCCAGCCAUGCCGCGUGUGUGAAGAAGGUCUUCGGAUUGUAAAGCACUUUAAGUUGGGAGGAAGGGCAGUAAGUUAAUACCUUGCUGUUUUGACGUUACCGACAGAAUAAGCACCGGCUAACUUCGUGCCAGCCGCCGCAGUAA
rnacentral:rRNA from 1 species